GGUUUAUUUCAAAAUGCAAAGCUAUGUAAACUCACAAAUUAGAAUUACCUCUCACUCUCCGGCACAAGCAAACCCUAGUCUCUGCAUUUUAUCUCUCUCCCUCUCCCUCCCACCAAAUAUGGCACAAAUCAUCGGCGACAUUCACUAGAUCGUCGUAGUCGGCGACUCCCUCUCCUCUCCUUUCCGUCUCCUCUUCUCGCCAGGUCUCCGAUGAAGCUCGCGAAGGAGUUCGCUAAUCUCCAUCCGCCUUUGUUGAUGGCAACUCCCAAUUCCAAAGAAAUUUCAGCCAGGACUUUCUAUUUCCUAUCCUUUUUGCUUAUGUGCGUAUAAUGUUGGGAAUGCAGUCAGCAAGGCUGUGCAGGGUCUUGUGGAAGCUUGGCGAGUCUCAUUUGUGUUUGUGCUCCAAGGUGUGAUCAUAAUGAAACUCAGCUAUGGCACAAAUUGAAAGCAUUCUUCUUUCUAUUUGAGGUAUUGAAACUCAGAUUAUUCUCACUAGUGUUAUAUACCUAUUGAAUUUCAGCUAUUGUGAAAAUGAAGAUCUAUUAUUUAAACCAAUAUAUAUUAUAUUGGUUCAUACCGUGAUCCUUGAGUUACUUGAAGCCUGAAGUGUUUUUUCUUUUUUCAUCAACCAAGCGCAUUCUGAAUGUUCUACAGUAUAUUGAACAUAAUUUCUCCUUUUAUAAGUAAGGGCGUUUUGUGAGCAAAUAUAGUCUUAUUUUCAGUUGCAGUCAAGGAAAUUUCAGCUAUUGUAAAAAUAUAAAUGCAUUGUAUUUGUUACGACCCGAAA